GACGAACGCUGGCGGCGUGCCUAAUACAUGCAAGUAGAACGCUGAAGGAGGAGCUUGCUCUUUCCGGAUGAGUUGCGAACGGGUGAGUAACGCGUAGGUAACCUGCCUGGUAGCGGGGGAUAACUAUUGGAAACGAUAGCUAAUACCGCAUAAGAGUAGAUAUCGCAUGAUAGCUGCUUGAAAGGUGCAAUUGCACCACUACCAGAUGGACCUGCGUUGUAUUAGCUAGUUGGUGAGGUAACGGCUCACCAAGGCAACGAUACAUAGCCGACCUGAGAGGGUGAUCGGCCACACUGGGACUGAGACACGGCCCAGACUCCUACGGGAGGCAGCAGUAGGGAAUCUUCGGCAAUGGACGGAAGUCUGACCGAGCAACGCCGCGUGAGUGAAGAAGGUUUUCGGAUCGUAAAGCUCUGUUGUAAGAGAAGAACGAGUGUGAGAGUGGAAAGUUCACACUGUGACGGUAUCUUACCAGAAAGGGACGGCUAACUACGUGCCAGCAGCCGCGGUAAUACGUAGGUCCCGAGCGUUGUCCGGAUUUAUUGGGCGUAAAGCGAGCGCAGGCGGUUAGAUAAGUCUGAAGUUAAAGGCUGUGGCUUAACCAUAGUACGCUUUGGAAACUGUUUAACUUGAGUGCAAGAGGGGAGAGUGGAAUUCCAUGUGUAGCGGUGAAAUGCGUAGAUAUAUGGAGGAACACCGGUGGCGAAAGCGGCUCUCUGGCUUGUAACUGACGCUGAGGCUCGAAAGCGUGGGGAG
rnacentral:rRNA from 1 species